rnacentral:lncRNA from 1 species
UUUUCACAACACAAUUCUUUAACAAACUUAAAUUAUAUAAAUCCGAUCUUUAUAUAUUGGGUUCUCAUCAAGGGAAAAUCAAACUUAUCUAACCCACACGUGGAAUGUGCACAUCUGGCAUGCGACGUCGGCCAACUGAAUGCAGCAUCAGCCAAGGCCGACACACAUCAGCCAUGUUGGUAUUUCUUGUUCUUCUUUUCUUAUAUCAUCCAUCAUCUUGAUGCUUGGCAGGUCAAAAAAAGAAUAAGAUCAAGUAAAUACCCAACAAGCGAUACACUCUAGGAUGCAGAACCUUUGAUAAAAUUGUCGGAUAACUAUAACUAUUCACGAAAGCUUUUCUAUAAGUUCUCAUAAGCAAGGUCGUCCAUAAAGAAACAAUGGUAUACUUCUAAUUUUCCAAACAACACCAAUUCUUUCAUAAUUGAAAUGAACAAUUAUAUCCAAGAAUCUACCAUAUUAAGAGGACAUAAGAGGAUCGGUACAUCCAAUCCACCACUAAAAAUUUACCGAUAUAUGUAGAAACACACGUGGACAUAUACAUCGAAUUGUACUUCAAAUCAUGUCCAAAACAAAGUAGGUGGUCACCUAAGAAUGUACAUAAAAAAACCGAAUAACACCAUAUACUCUUUCCAUAGCGUCAAUAUCAAACAUUCCAUUUAUAUGACUCCAUCUCUUUGAUUUUUAGCCACCUACAAUCAACCAGUAUAGUCCCCAUUACAAUAGUAAAUAUACUUAAUUCAUCAAAUUCAUAUGAUUCUCGCAGUUUCUUCACUAGUACCAACAUUAUUAAUACGAAUAAAACAUUAUAACCAUUCAAGCCAUUUACCAUGCUCUCAAACCGCCACUAGUAUCAAACUAUCCUUAAAAAAAUACAUUACCACCUCCAAAAAUUUGAAACAAUGGCGCUCUCUCUUUCCAUUUAAUAGUUCUAUGAAAGAUACACAGCACACAUAAGAAUGAUAGAGGUACUUACAAGUCUAAUAAUACUUUUCAUCGAGGUAAAAUAAUUAAAGUACACCCAACGCUACUCUACGCAAUCUUUCACAUACAAAAUUUUAACUAAUAUACACAGUAAUCAUAUAUCUUAUAUCAACACUUAAAAAAAUUGGUCACUCAAUUUACUCAGUAUACCAUAAGCUCAUUAUCUCUGAUCACCAUCAAAUGCUAAUGUAACAGAUCAUAAUAGUAUGUAUUGGCCCAACAACAAAUUACCUAUCAUAAUUUAAGCAAUCUAGCUCAACAUAACUACAUAGAAUCUCUCCUACCUAGUUGAUUGUUACCCAAACAAAAACUCAAUCUUGAGAAAAGUCUAUGAUAAAUUAUUAUUUUUUUGGUAUGUUUGUACUAAACUAGUUCACAUCUCAGAAUUAUACUAAACUCAUAGGCAAAAAUUAAUUAAUCCUUCCAAUAAAAACCAAGAAUUUAUAUGAAAGUUCUUAUUCCUUCACUUUUUUUAAAAAAAUAUUCCCAUGACACAAAGUUGUAAAUAUCUUGAACUCUUCAAUACACCAAACCCAUGUUCCUUCGGUUGACUGGCUCACCAAUCUUAUUUUUUGGCCAACAAAGCUGGACAUUUUUACCUUAUACACAAAACAAAAACUUGAAAUGAAACACUUCAUUAGGUAUUUUGAAAGUCAAAAUAACACACUUUAUGACUCAAAACAUAUACCAAUCCUUUGUAAUGCUCAACAUUCCAUAUGAUCGAUCAUUUCUUACCUUACCAAUCCACACCUUGACAAAACAUACUACCAUGAACAUAAAAUCACCAUGAAAAACUUAAAUUUUUACCCAACCAUGUGACACGAUUCUAUUAUCUAUCAACAUUUGCUCAUACAUUGGAUAUCUUUAUGAAUCCACGUAUCUUAACCUAUCAUUCAUUGCCUCUUCAUUGAUCUUACCAUAUCCUUCUUUAAAAAUUCAACCGUACCAAUUAUCAAACUCAAAAUCAUAAGAUGUUAUCACCACACUCGAGUCAAACAUGUAUAGAUUUCUUUGUCAAGGCUUACCCAAUUGUUUUUAACCAAUCUGAUGAGCUCGUGACACUAUUAUCAUAAGUAGAGCAAAAUAGAUGAAAACAAUGUGUCUCAUAACCCAAUUAUCAACUUCUCUGAAAAUACCUCCUUAGCCCUUGCAAUCAGAAUAAAAUACUUUUUUUCUCAUCUCUUUUCGAAGGCUAGAUUACAUCAUACUUAUUCUUUGCAUUUAUGACUUUAAUUCCUUUCUGUUCUGUUCAAGAAAUGCCUCAACAACCCCUAUAACUUUUCAUGCAAUCAAGAUACUCACUAAAUAGUAUCAAACCACAACCUUAAAUACUCGCAAGUCACCAUUAUAAUACAAAAGUCAUUUAACCAACAAUUUUUAUUAUAUAUAUGCAUCUCAAUCACAAUCCAUAACGAACACUUAUUACCAUCAUGCUCAAUUAGAUCUUAUCAUCACCAUGAAGACAACAUUUUCAUCAAUGAGACACCUCAAACUCGGUUAUAUUAAUCAAAUCCAAAGGACUACCCCACUUUUAUAUGAUCUUUUUACAAAAAUAUUCAAUUACCUUUAUACAAGUAUAUUCUUUGGGAAUUUAUUUAUCCAUAUGCUCGUAAUUUUGGUAUUUAUCUAUUCUAUUGAACCUUAAAAAGAAAUCAAUGUCCUUAUUUAGGAUCCUUGGAAUACACUUUUAAUCUUAAAUCAUCAAUAUUGUAUCAACGAUCCACCACUAAAUGCUUCCUUAUAAAUAAUGCUUAACUCAUUCGUGUGUAUUAACAAGCUAUUUGUUUUCUCAAAUGUGAAUACAACAUUGAAUCUCAUUAUAUGAACAUGUGAUACAAUUGAUAACUCUUUAAGUGGUUUGUAAUCGCACUUGACAUAAACAUAUCAAUUUUCAUGUACCAUUAGUAUCACCUUAUGAAAUAUGUUAAAUCCACCACUAGAACACAUCAUACCUAUCGAGAAUAUUGUACCUAAAUAACCUACACGUUUCUGUCUCAUUAGGUAACUAACAUACACUAUCAAAACUUUACGACCUCUCAUCCAAAGAGAUUUGCAUCCCUUUGUAGAUCAGGUCAAUAACAAAAGUAACACACUCCAUAACUCUAACAAAGUAAGCAUCAGUAUUGUUAUGGUACAAAUUCUAACCUUAAUUGAUGCAUCACUAUUAUCAUAAUUUCUGGAGCAACUCAUUAAUGUUAUGAUAACUUUACUAAUUGCAGUUUACAAAAUCACAUGUCCAUUAAAUGUCUCUCCCUUUAAUCAUUUCACCUUCAAUGUUUAAACCACUCUAAUUAUUGUAUAUACUACACAAAAACUAUUGACUUUACUAGGGUAACUAAUCUUACACAGCCCAUUAAAAUUGUUGAACUUUUUAAAUCUAACCACCCAUUUUUUUUCAUAAGUAUAUUACUCUCAACGUAAUACCAGAUCUAACCUUCAAAUCAUAGACGACAUGAAAUACUCACAUGAAAAACUACGCAUGAGUCAUCACAUAAGUGAGAGAGAAUGGAAUGAAGUGAUGUGAAUCAAAAGCAAACAAAAGAUGCACGAGAGAGAUUCAAAAAGUGAAGAUUUUUCUUAAAAGUCACUAUAGCCUCUCAAAGAUAACUACAAACGUCUCCGUACCGAUCCUCGAGACUCUACCUAGACUCGACUAGUACACACGUGACACCUAUGAACCUGGGGCUCUGAUACCAUGUUGUCACGACCCAAAAAUGGACGUGAUGGCACUCGACUUAUCCCACCAAGACAAGUCAGCCUAAUACUCAACCAUUAUAAUAAUGUGCGGAAAUAAAAUAUAAGUAACUUAAUAAAACCCCCAAAACCAUGUAGUCACGUGUACAAGCCUCUAAAGUAUUACAAGAUUCAAAGGAAAAACUCAAGUCUCAAAUGAACUUGUUUCUAGAAUAGAACAAGAUCAUAAUUAUGGAGAAGAAAGUCUGCUGAGAUGGAAACAGCUACCUCACAAAUCUCCAUGAACCCUCGUAAAAGAAGAGAAUGACAUGUACAACAAAAAUCCAGGCUCAUAGCCUACAAAAAUUUGUAGAAGCAAGGGGUGAGUACAAAACCACACGGUACUCAGCAAGUAAACCUCUAAACACAAGCAAAGGGGAUGAAAUACGGGUACUCCUACCACCCCCAAUCGAAUCUCCACAACUACAACCUGCAUUAAAAUCAACCCAACCUAACAGUUCACAGAUUACAUAGCACGUAGCUCAACAACAAUACUUAGAAAAAUUACAUAUCCUCAACAACAACACUUUAACAAAUUAAAUAUCCGCAAUAACAAGGUCAUUAUUGAUCAAUCACAUGUUCCGUAGAAAGGCAAUAAGAAGAUCAGCAAAACACCAUAUCAAGUUCACUAAUGAUAAGUAUGUGCAAUGCAAUGGAAUACAAUGUCAAGUAUAAUGAUGCGUGUCUGACCUAGAGAUACACACCCGCUGUUUCUCUGUCCGGGACCCAUGUGGGACAUAUCUGUCCAUUCAUCUGUCGCGGCGCGUGAUCCGACCCUCGAUAAAAGUAACCAUCGCUGUGCGCGAUACGUCCCUCGAAAUAUAGUAUCCAUCGUGGUGCGCGAUACGUCGCUCGAAAUGGUACAUCCUCUUAAGUACUCUUUCUUUCUCAAUGCACAUAACACUUGUCACAACCAAUGCCUCAUUAUAACGCAGAUGACAAGUUCACACAAAUAAUGAGGAGAUGACCAUUUCCAUAACAUUGCACAGUUCACAACCACACAAACAUGAAAUCACAUCAACAAUGAUUCAACAAGCCUUCAACCCUUUCUCAACACAUCACACAUACACAAUUAAUCAAAUUGCCUUUUGUUUUUCGUUUUUUUCAUUAUUAGAAUUAAUUAAUGUGGACAAGUCAACCCAUCGCCAAUCCCGUUACUCCCAAACAUAUAGUACAAGGAAAUACACGCAUUUCAUACACUUAACAAGAGUUUAGAAAUCCACUUCCCUCAAAUAGUCAAACAAUCACUCUGUGACUUGAGUCUUCCUCUUUUCGUUGGACUUCCAACUCAAAGCAAUCUAUUGAUAUUAUUAGUCAUAAUAAGAUUUAAAACCUAACAAUACUCAAAUUACUAUAGGUCUAGUCUAAAUACAAAAACUCUCUCAGAUAUGUAAUCAAGCUCGUAAUAUUGAUGUCAAUUAACAUGUAAACUCUUUUUUUUAAUUAACUUCAAGUGUCAAGUUUAGGUUUAAGUUCCAAUUUCUCCAACACCAUAAUUCUAAUAUUAUUCGUAUACUUUAAUAUAUUUAAUAUGUUAUUGUCUAUCUUAAUAUAUCAAAAACAUAGAUUAUAAUGUAACAAUAAGAAAAUAAUAAAAACUAUAAUCGACUGAUUACAAAGAAUGUUUACUAGAUGUUAUUCACGUAACCUAAUUUCAAAUUGCUAAGGCAUACUACAAUUUUCUCUGAUGGCACUCAUUGUCAAUUAAUACUUUUGACAGUAACAAGAAUUGAUGAAAUAUUUGUAAUAUUCAAGUUGAUGCAUUAAUUCUUAACUUUAAGUUGGAACCUCCUUUUAUUUCUAUUUUCCACAUUUAAUUUGACUACUUAGUAUGUUAGAUACUAGUUAGAUACUUACCUUUUUACAUUAAGUUGAAUUGGUGAAAUUUAUUAUGUUGUCUUACCUAUCGGUUUGAAACUUAGGUGUCAUCACAACUCGUUAUUUUGGGUCGUGACAACUUGCUAUCAUAUCCCUAGGUUCAUCGGUCUCACGAGUACAAGAGCUGAGUCUAGUAGAGUGUAACAACCUGUUUAGUCGGUUCGAGCAGUAGAAUUAUUUUUGAUAAAAACUGACUGGGUCGACGGACCACGCGACGGACCGUCAUGGUCACGACGGACCGUUAUGGACUCCGUCAUCCCAUACUUGUGUAAUUUCUUCUACUGUUCUCCUCAUUACCCUCGACGACAAGUAGGACGAACCGUCAUAGGCACGAUGGUCCGUCGAGCGUCUUCGUUCUAAAACACUUCAACUCUGAAAUCUGGGUGCUGGAUCGACUCUCUGAACUUCGCGACAGAACUGCAGCACGGACCGUCGUAGUUACGACGGACCGUCACAAAUCUCUUUACUGAAUUUGACUCUCUGAACUUUGUGACGGACCUGUACGAUGGACCGUCGCAGAUACGACGGGCCGUCACAAGUUGCGUAACCCCUACUGUGUCGGAUUUCUGAUAAUGUUUUUAAAGUGGUGUUUUGGACUAUUCAUGAUUAUAAUUAUGAAAUUAGUGGGGUUAGUUUAAUAACUUAUUUACUUGGGUGUUAAAGAAGAUAAUAGGGAAAUAAAUAGUGGGUUACUUUUAUCAUAAUGAAUUAUAUGAUAAUUAGGGUAAAAGAAAAAGAAUCUGGAGAAGAAAAAGAAAAAGAACAGAGAGGGGGGAACGAGCGAGAGAGAGAGAGAACGAAGAGGAAAGCAAAGGCAUUGGGGAAGUAUCUUGCUUGAUCACUAUUCUUUGUUAGAGGUAGGUUAUGGUUUAUUUCUAUGUGAUAGAUAAACUCUAAAUACCAAUUGAUAUGUAUUUAUGAUAUUGUAAAUUCUUCUAUAUGCUUCAUUGUGUGAUUGUAUGUUGUGAUUGUGUAAUUGUGGUGGAUUAGAUUGAUGAGACUGUUGAAUCUUAAAUCUUAAAUCCUCUCUAUUAAGAUGACGCCUUAUCAUUUAGAAGACUUGAUGAAAUAAAACAAUGAGAUAAAUGGAUCAGAGUGUCACGUUCCGACACGUAGUAUUACGGUAUCGGAGUGUCACGUUACGAUACAGUAGUAAUAAUGGAUCGGCGUGUCACGUUCCGUCACGUAGUAUUAGUGGAUAAGAGUGUCACGUUCCAACUAGUAGUAUUAGGGGAUCGGAGUGUAACGUUCCAACACGUAGUAUUAGGGGAUCGGAGUUUCACGUUCCGACACUGUAGUAAUAAUGGAUCGGUGCGUCACGUUUCGACACGGUAGUAUUAGGGGAUCAGCGUGUCACGUUCCGACACAAUAAUAAUAAAUUGAAGUAAUCUUGAACUAUGUUAAUAUACUCAAAUUCGAAGAAACCUAUUUUCCAAAUGAGUAUGGUGUAGAGGCUUGAGUUCUCAUAGGUGUGCUUGGUGUUAUUGCCAAUGGUUCUUGUACUUGUUGAUUUUCACCUGUUAUGUAUUGUGGUUAAUUUUAUAUUAUUAUUCAGUAUAUAUUGCUUUCUAUUUUGAGUUGGCCGAUGAUACCUACUCAGUGCGUGUUCCUUGUACUGACCCCUACUUGUAAUUUUCUUCUUUGUUAUUUGUGGAGUGCAGCAAACGUGCCAUCGACUUCGACUCGUCCGCAACUCUAGCAAGUCUCCAGCACAUCAGAUUUCAGGGUGAGCUAUUAUUCCUUGCUCGUAGUGGAUUCUCUCCUUUACGUCUUGAUGUCUUGAAGUUCGGACAUGGACCAUCUCUUUUACUUUUACAGCUUCUUAAAUACUCUUAGAUUUAGAAAUUCGAGGAUAGAUGUUCUUGGUGCGAUGACUUCAAGAUUUUGGGGAUGAUAAGUGUUAAACGUUAGAAGUUUAUUUACUUGUAUUCAUUAAUAUGUUUUGGAGCUUCCACAUUAUUUCAUUAAUUAUCGUUGAAUUAUUGGUAAAUGUUGGGGUUUAAUUUUUUUGGUUCGCUCACUUAGUAGGCUAAGGGUGGGUGCCACUCACGAUUCGUUUUGGGUCGUGACUAUAAUGAUAAUAUAUUGGGUUCAAGACCCGUCGAUUUAUGACCUAAGACACUUUUGUAUUGAUAAGACAUUGAAUUUGAGUCUUAGUGCACUAUAUUGAUUGUAUAAUAAUGACUAAAGAAAAGCUAAUGUGUUUUAGAUGAAGAGUCAUGAAUCAUAUUGAAUUUACUCUAUUAUAAAUGUGAAUGUUGUAUUAGUGCAUAAUAUGUCUGAAAGAAGACAAGUGAUUGAACAAUGCACAUAAAUAUGGAAUGAGGUACUAGCUAUCAUAAUUUUAUAAGCUCUCGUGUUUGUGUUCCAUUCAUGAAGAAUGGGAACUUCUGAUAAAUGCUAAAAUAUGGAUCCAUUCUUUAAAGGGAAUGAGGUUUAAGCCACUGUGCUAGGCAUGAGAAAGAUUUUGACCUUGGUCAAUAAUGUGGUAUAACCAAGCAUGUCUCUUUGAAGACAUGUAUUAUACAAAAGUUUCAUUUUUUAUCUUCGGGCUUGUAUUGGAGAAGAAUUAAUGUAAUUGCAGCACAUUCUAUGUUAAAUAAGAAGUUUUCUAAUUUCAAUAUUUUCUUAGUUUGACAAGAUUUUCUGGGACAUCGUUAGUCUAUAGUUUUUGGACGAAUUAUGAAAAAUUAAAAUGGAUUUUCAUGGAAGAAACUAAAAAUUCAUUUAAAUGGUGAAUUUUUGUAUACUACUUGUUACCAAGACAAGCUAAUUGUGAGACCACCAUAAACGAAAGUUGAGAUUGAAUUUUCUGCAUUAUAGGAACGUAUACAGAUAUUUGUAGACCUAGUCAUCCACCAAGUAGAUAGUUUAGAUAUUUAAUGGUCCUAACAAAUGUUUCUUCUAUUAUUAUCUCGCAACAUAAUGUUUGCAAAAAUAUUGGCACAAAUAAUAUGUUUACAUGCACAAUUUUUUUCAGAUUAGUUUAUUCAAUGAUGGAAUCACUACUCAUCUAAAGGGUAAAGUAAUUGAGAAGAAAUAAAUCUGAAAAUUACUCUUGGAGUAAUAAAAUUGAAAUUUAGUCAUAUAAUAGUAAAUCAGAAAUUUACUAAACGUAGUAAACUUGGAGUUUACGAGUACUAAUAAUUUUAUUAGUUGGCAUUUAUAAUAUGGUCAUCCCAAAGAUAUUCAUAGUGAGUAAUGGACAUACAUUGAAAAACAAGAAGAUUCUUCAAGAAAUCAUUUGUUGUUUGUCCUCAUGACUUGUUGAUUGGAUCAACUAAUGUUGACAUUAAAUCUCUAAAUUCUGAAAUGUAUAAAAGGUGAAUAUGGCUCCGUUCACCUAUCAUGUAAUAUUAUAAAAAUAUGCAUCUAUAAUAUAAUCACAUGUAUUUUUGUUGUCAACGUGUAGUUUGACAUUUUCAAAAUUGUUUGUGCAAAAAUAAUUGAGUUAACAGCACAAUUUCAGAAUAUGUAAUCAAGACGAUUUAUCUUGAUAAAAUUGAUAAAUACUCAAGAUUAUGUGACACUACAUGUCUAAAAUUGUAAAAUCAUUGUUUAUGAAAAAAAAACUUCAUAUGUCUAUAUGAAAUACGAUAUUGCAUACAAAUGUGAUUGUAUGCAUCAGACUGAUAAAUUAUGAUCAAAUUUUCUUUCAAUUGAUUUAUGGACGGGGACCAAAUAUUUUUCAUCUGAUGAUUUUGAUAUGUGGUGUAUAAUCAAUGAAUAUACAUUGAUGCACAAGGAUAGAUUCUCCAAAGAUUGAGAUAUAUGAUAGUUUGUCUAACAUAAGGGCGAGAUUAGAAGCAACACAAAAGUUGUAAAUACUCCUACUGAAUGUCCCUUAAAGAUAGAGUCUAUGACAUGCAUUAAGCAUUAUAGACUAAUCAAUUCUAAAUAUAAUAAUCCUUGAAAAAUGGGGAGGAUCAAAGAAUCAAAAUGCUCAUAAUAAGGAGAAAAUGUGUUCUUGGAGAGCCUACGACAUAACACUUUAUGAAAAUCUUAUGAGAGGAGUAGCUACCUCAAAAUAAUAAAGUGAUGAGAUCUCAAUAAGUUUAGUCGUAUUGUGAAUCGAUACAAAAUGGUAUAUUGUUGACAAUAUAUUUGAUACAAUGUGCGCACAAUAUUGUAAAAGAUUAUGAGAAUAUGAAUUCCACAUCUAUUAAAGCAUGCUUGUGUAGUAAUAAUUAUCAAGUGAAAAGUGGAAUGAUGCAUCUUGAUAAGCAUAAAGCUUAUUUGACUUGCAAUCUAGGCACUAAAAGAUGUCAUACAUCUAAUUUGAAUUUUUUUACUUGACAAAAUCAAAUAUCCAAUGUGUUCAAAAUCUAAAGCAUAUACAAGUUUUUGGAAAACUUUUUUGUUAUCCUCAUUACGAUUAAAUCGAUUCAAAAUGCAUGAAGCAUAUACAAAUAUUGUUAUGCAAGUUGAUACCUAGAAUUGGAACUCUUGAAUAGUUUUCAAAAGGAAAUAGAUUACUUGCUUAAAGAAAUUAAAGUAAGGAACUUGCAGAAAUAUUUCUUCAAGGUUUCCCUACACUAAUGAGCUCCCAAGAAUGGUAAUAUCAACAUGUAAGAGGUCUGUUCAAGUAAUACUAUAGUUGAUGUAUUCACCAUGUCUCUACAAACUACAACUUUAAAAAAGAUAGUGCACAAGCUUGGAAAACAAGAUUCUAGUCUCUGAAUUGAAGUUGUCAUUAGGGGGAGUUCAUACGCGAUGUACUCUUUUAUCCUCACAAGGUUUUGUCCCACUGGGUUUUCCUUGUAAGGUUUUUAAUGUGGCAUCCAUAAUGCGUAUUAUUAGAUAUGUGUACUCUUUUUCCUUCAAUAGAUUUUUUUCGCACUGGGUUUUAUCUAGUAAGGUUUUUGACGAGGGACAUAAUCUACCGACAUUCAAGGAGGAGUGUUAUAAACAAUUUGUAUUAUAGUUAAUGUAUAAUUAUGUGGAGUCCUUGAAAAAUAUGGUUAGGAAUCCUACUUGGGGACCAAGUAAGGUUUUCCCUAUAAAUAAAGGGUUUUCCUUCAUUGUAAAUAAGAUUUGCGAAAGAUCUGUGAAUCCUGAACAUAAUUCAAGAGAAAUAAGAAGUCUUUUCUCUUCUGCCUACUUUCUUCUUCUUCUAAGUUUAUAUAGUUUCAUAACAUUUUUUAAUAUACAACUAGUUUAGAAAUGAAAAUAAAGAGGAGUAAAUUUUUUUACACCUACAGCGAGCACGGAGAAGAGCGUCGCAUGGAAGAUAACAAUUUAGGUACAACCAACCCUUCCAUAGAUAUUUUAUUUUUGUUCUUAAUUCUCUUCUUAUAAAUUAAAAAAUGAACACUAAAUAAAUAUUUAGAGAAAUGAUGAAUAAUAAUUGAAUAGAGGCAAUAAUGACUACAUGACAAAGAUUCAAUUCAAGGGAAUUUGUUGUUGGUUUGAAUCAUAUGUAGAGGUGUUUCACUGGAAGUUGGAAGUUCUCACAUGUAACAAAUUGUUGGACAACGAGUAUAGGCUAAUAACUGCCGUCAUUUAUAAGGUAAUUUAUUUAUUUUUAUGAUCUUCAUGAUUUAGGUAAUGGACUCAGUGGUCAAGUCUUAGUUUGGUUUAGGUUUUGAAUUCGUUUUAUUGUUAUCAUAUUAUAAUUUAAGUUCACUAUGUUAUGAUAGGAAAUUGAUUAUUGAUGUAUUUUAUCAUACUAAAACUAUUGGAGUUGAUAUUGGAAAAAUAAUGCGACAUAAUCUUAGGCAUGAAACCUAAGAACUAGAUUAUAAAUUUGGGUGACUUUUUGGGUCAAGGCUAAACACAUAGUAAUAUGAGAGUUGUUAGUUUUGAAAUCUUAUUGUGAUCAUGAUUCAUUUAAAUAGAUUGUUUUUAGUUCAAAGUUCAACGAAAGGGGAAGACUCAAGUUCCAGAAUGAAUUCUUUAUUUGUUAAGGCAAGUUGAUUUCACAACUCUUGUUAAGUGUGUGGAAUGCGUUUAUUUUCUUGUGGUGUAUGUUUGUUUGUACCGGGAUUGGGGAUAGGUUGAUUUGUCCACAUUGAUUAAUUCUAAUAAAAAAAAAGGGAGAACAAAAGGCAAUGUGAUUAGUUGUUUAUGUGUGAUGUGUUGAGAAAGGUUUGAAUGCUUGUUGAAUCAUUGUUGAUGUGAAUGCCUUUCUGCGGAACAUCGAAAGUCCUUUCUGUUAGGUUGGACUAAUUUUUAUGCAGGUUGUAGUUGUGGAGGUUCGGUUUGGGUGGUAAGAGUGUCCGUAUUUCAUCCCCUUAGCUUGUGUUUAGGGAUUUACAUGUUCAGUACCAUGUGGUUUGGCACUCAACCCUUGCUUCUACAAAUUUUGUAGCUAAUGAGGCUGGAUUAUUGUGGUACUUGUCAUUCUCUUCUUUUCCGAGGCUUCUUGGAGAUUUGUGAGGCAGUUGUCUGUCGUCUACACAAACUUUCUUUCUCUUCAAUUAUGAUCUUGUUCUAUUCAUGAAACAACUUCAUUUGAAUCAAUUGUAAUACUUUAGAGGCUGGUACACAUGACAACCAGAUCUUGGGGUUAUUUUUUAAUUGAUUAUAAAAUUUCCGCAUUUUAUUAUAAUAAUUGAGUUUUAGGCGGACUUGUCUUAGUGAAUUAUGAAGAGUGUCAUCACGUAUAUUUUUAGGUCGUGACAAAAUGGUUUCAGAGCCCCAUGUUCAUAGGUCUCACGUGUGUACAAGUCGAGUCUAUGUAGAGCCUUGACGAUCGGUAUGGAGAUGUCUAUACUUAUCUUUGAGAGACUAUUGUCACGGACUUGGAGUAUUUGCUAAGACUUCAUGCAGCACUAGACAACUUACUCAUGAAUCUUUCACAAUCUUAUAAGCUCAAGAAAGACUUUAUGACUCGAAACUUUAAGAGAAUGCAAAGAAAGACUUAGAUAAAACAAAAAAGAACUUUGGAGGAUGGCUUUUGUAUUGCUUAGGAAGAUUGCUUACAACAUGCUUCGUUGGUUUACAAUGAGAGACCCCCCUAUUUAUACUACUUCCUAGGGGCUAAAUUGUAAAUAAAAAUUAUUUACCAUUCCUUAUUCUAGAAAAGUCUACACUUUCUAGGAUCUUCCAAAGCCUUUCUUGAAAAGUCUAUGUUAUUCUAGAGAAUUCUAAGGAAUUCUCUAGCCUUCUUGAUUAAUAUAGAAGGUUCUAGAGUUUUCCGCGAACCUCUCGACAACUCUAGACCCUUUCGUCUCUAUCCGGAUGUAAAAUUUAACAAGGAUGUGGCGGAACGUCACACCAUCCCCCACCCGAUGAUACGACGACCGCGGCGCAUUGCUGCAAAAACUCGUGGACUUUGUCUUUCAAUUACCACAAGUCUUCAUAUUUCUCCCAUGUGGCCUCUUCUGGAGCUUGUCCUUUCCAAUGUACAAGGAACAUGACGCUGGCUUGUUGACCUCGCUUUCAUUUGUCUUAAUGAUCUAUGAUAGCCUUAAUCUCUCUAUCAUGCGAGGCGGUGACUGUAAUGGGUGACCGUUGUGAUCGGUUUCAGCUAGGAUCUUCCCUUUCCUCAUUGUAAGGCUGGAGGACCCUCGCAUGAAACACCGGAUGGAUCUUUAAGUGUUGAGGUAACUCCAACUUGUAUGAAACACCGGAUGGAUCUUAUUUUUUGCACUAUGUUUUGAUGGACGCCUCUUAGUGAACUGUCUUGGGUUGAAUUUCACCAAGACCAUGUCGCCUUCCUUAUAGUCUUUGGGACGACAUUUACGGUCGGCAAAUUUCUUCAUCCUUUUGGCUUCCUUGUCCAAGUAGGACUUGGUAGUGACAAGAUGCUCCUCCCAUCCCUAUGCAAGAUAGUAGGCACCCAAACUCUUUCCCUCAAAAGUAAUCUUCAACGAAUGCGGAUUUUGGGGUUAUUGGCCUGUCGCCAACUCAAACGGUGUGAGCCUGGUGGAUUCACUCCUCUCCAAAUUAUAAGAAAAUUGCGGCAUGUCUAGGACUCUAGACCAAUCCUUUUGAUAUGCACUGACAUAAGGCCAUAGAUAGAACUCUAAUAGGUUGUUGACGCAUUCGGCCUGAGUGUCGGUCUACGGGUGGAAACUACUGCAGAAGUGAAGCUUCAUGCCAAGUAUCUCGAACAACUAUCUCCAAAAGUUCCCGGUAUAGCGGGGGUCUCAGUCGCUAAUGAUAUGUGUCAAUAACCCUAAUAUUUCACCAUGUUCUUAUAGAAUAAUCGAGCAACUUUCUUUGCGUUGCAAAUGGAUGUGGCAGGAAUGAAGGUUUAUACUACAAAAACCUGUCUACCACGACCAUGAUCGUGCCAAACCCGUCGGACAUCGGCAAUAAAUUGAUGAAGUCCACAAUCACUCUCUCCUAUGGGCGUUCUACUACGGGUAGUGGCUCUAGUAACCCUCCCGGUUGCCUUUGCUCAACAUUGUCUUGUUGGCAUACAACACAAGUCUGCACAUAGCACUCGAUGUCAUCCCGCAUGCUUGGCAAAAAAUAAAUAGCCUCGUUCAGCGUUCUUGUACUUCGUUCCCCUGGAUGCCCAGUCCACGGUGUGUCGUGGAUUUUCUUAAUGAUGUUCCACCUGAUUGCCUCAAACAUGGGCACAAAGACCCUCCAACCCGUAGUGAGAAAGAAGACAUCUUCUACCCAAAACACCUAGUUUUGCCUUGAGCGGCCAACUCCAUCAACUUCUUUGCAUAUGGAUCAUGUUGCAUACCAUCUCUGAUUGCAUCCUUAAUGUCACAAUGGAUUUUAGUUAUGGAAGCAAGAUUGGCCUUCCGGCUUAGUGCGUCGGCCAAGACAUUGUGUCUUCCUGGCUUCUACUCAAAAACGUAGUCGAACUCUGCUAGAAAAACAUUCCACCUAGCUUGGUUAGGGUUGAUCUUUUUUUGGGACUGAAAGUAGCUAGUAGCAACGUUGUCGGUUGUAACUAAGAACUUGGACCUAGUACGUAGUGUCUCCAUGUGUGUAGGUAGUGCACAAUGGUUGUCAUCCUUUUCUCCUGCACCAUGUACCGUCCUUUGACCUUGUUCAGUUUGCGGCUUUCAUAUGAUACUGGGUGUCUAUCUUGCAUUAAGACUCCGUCAAUGGCAAUGUCUGAGGCAUUCGUAUGUAUUUCGAAGGUCUUGACAAAAUUGGGCAACGUCAAGACCUGUUCUUCCCUUACUGCGACCUUGAGACCUUCGAACGCUUUUUGGAAAUUCUCACUCCAAACCCACGACUUAUUCUUCUUCAAAAACUCAGUCAGUUGAGCGGCUUUAGAGGAGUAGCCACUGAGAACCAAUGAUAAUAGUUCGCAAUUCUUAGGAAUGAUCGUAGCUUGGUCACCUUCGUGGGUGCCGUCUACUCCUGGAAUGCCUGGAUCUUUGUCUCGUCCAUCUGUGGUUCAUCCUGGUUGAUGACAUGGCCUAUGAAGUACACCUCUUGUUGGGCAAACUUGCACUUCUCCCGCUUGAUGUAGAUUUUGUUCUAUCGUAAGACUUGGAAGACUUUCCUCAAGUUCUCCAUGUAUUCCUCUAUGGUGUUGCAUAGAUGACUAUGUCAUACAAGUACACCACCACGAACUGGUCCCAGUAGGGAUGAAAUAUUUCGUUCAUCAGCGUGCAAAAGGUGGCGGGUGUGUUGGUUAAGAAGAAGGGCAUCACCAACCAUUCAUAUGCUUCAUAUCUAGUCACACACCUUGUCUUUGUCUCAUCUCUUUAUGUGGUGCACAGUUGGUAGUAGCCUUUCCGGAGAUCCAUCUUGGUGAAGUACUUGGCCUUCCCAAGUCAAUCAAAUAAGUCUGCAAUCAGCAGGAUAUGAUAUUUGUUCUUAAUUGUGACCUUAUUGAGCGCCCGAUAGUCGAUGCAUAAGCGCAAUGACCCAUCUUUUUUCUUCUGUAAUAGCACUGGCAUGCCAUAAGGUGCCUUGGAUGGACGUAUAUGACCGGUCUCGAGGAGCUUCUUCAGCUGCUUCCUUAGAUCCUUUAAUUUGGUGGAUCCAUGUGGUAAAAUGCAUGUGCGGGUGCUUGGCUCCAAUCUCCACCUCUAUCUUGUGAUAUACCUCGCACCUCGAAGGUAGAGUCUGCGGUAGCUCUUCCGGCAUCACAUCCUUGUUCUCUUUAUGGAAAGUCUCUAUGAUUGGUGGCAAGGACUCCAUAGUACCAUUAUCUUCUCCUGAACUUGCAAUAGUAGCUAGGAACGUGGGUUCUCCUUUCUUUAGGCCCUUCAUAAUAUGUAUGGCCGAUAAGUAGGCGUGUUUUUCUUUCAUUGCCACAUUGAUCAGAGGUACCAUGCAUGACCCUUCCCACUCCAUGACCAUGAGUCGUUGGAGGUAGGGGUCAAUCAUCGUAUGGUAGCGUCGGAAGAACUCUUUCCAGAGAAUGAUAUCAAAUAUGUCUAAAAGAGCAGCGGUAAAGUUUGUUUUACCUUGAAACUUUCCCAACAUGAUGCUCACUCCUUGGGCUACCCUGCAUACUGGAGUGGGUGAGGCUUUAACUGUAUUGAGGCAGGUGUUGCUUGGCACGUAGUUCAUCCCUAACCUCUAUGCCACCGUCUUGGUCAAGAUAUUUGCUUCGGCCCCCGAGUCUACCAUGGCACGAGCUGGUCGUCCAUUUAUGGAGAUGUCUACAUACACUAUUCUGAAGUCUCCUGGCUUCUCGGUCUACUUGGCUAUUGCACCGCACAAUCCAACCAUGCCCAAUUGUAUCGUGCCCGCUUUCUACCCUUGCUCUUUUGUGUCCUUCUCCUUCCGUUCACGUAGGAUGGCACCAAGGUUCUUCCUCUCAAGGAACCUGGCAUAGUCAACCAUAUAUGUAGCAUCUAUUUACUUUUUUGGUUUGCGCCCGCUUCUCUGUGUAGUUCUGCAAACCGAACCGCUUGUCGUCCAGCUUGUGGGGGUCAUGCUACUUGGGGUGUGUCUGCUGCUCCUUUCCUUAACCACGGUCUUCCCCACCUUUUGCAUGACUUUUUUUUGUAUCCUUGCCAUUCACCUUGUCAUGUCAUUUGUGUUUGAAGUCCAUCAAGGAAUCGUCUUGUUUGAUGGCUUUGUCAAUGGUUUUGACUUGACAACGCUCCAACUCCUUCUUGUCCCAAUUCGGCAGUCCGUCCAUGAAGUGGAACAAUAUGUACUCAUCUAUAAGGUUCGGACUUUGAAGCGUUAAAGUUGUGAACUGCUUCACAUAUGCUCCAAUGCUUCCUGUUUGCUUCAAUUUUUGGAACUUGCGGUUAACAUCGUGCAUGACGUUGUUAGGAAAGAAGGCUUUAUUGAAUUCUUAACGGAGUUGCUCCCAUGCAUUGAUAGUGCACGUCCGCUUCCCGAUCUCAACCUCUUUGCGCCUCCACCAUAGCAUAGCCAUCUAGGACAAAUACAACACGACCGUGUUGAUCUUGUUCUCAUUGCUUCUCACCCGACUACACUUGAAGUAAUUUUUCAAGUGCCAUAGAAAGUUUUCCACCUAUUGAGCGUCAUAGACACCCUUGAAUAUAACUGUCUUGGGAACCUCAAACCUGUCCUCCCUAUCACGGUCAGGUGAUGCAGAUCCUCCAACCUCUACGCCUUUCUUGAGUGUUUUUACUUUGGCCUUCAGCGUCUUGAUCAUGGGAAGUGCAUCCAUAAGCCGCCACUCCAACGAAGUGAUGGCCUCCUUCAUCUUGAACCUGACCCGUUGGCGACCCUCCAACUCCUUAUGGAUGUUUUCAUUCUCCUCAAAGGUGAAGUCCUUAAGGGUCUUGAACUUGUCGUCUGCCACAUUCAUGUGCCGGCCUAAUAUCUCUACGGCCUGCAUGGCUACUUCCACUAUUAUGACCCAUUCUUCUCCAGCGGUGACGUCUAUGGCGUCUUCGCCCAAUUCAUCGUCACUUGCUUUGAUAGUGGAGGGUGGAUGAGAUGUUAGCGCCUCGGUAGGUGUGGGUUCGUGCAGAACCUCCUCAUUACCCUUUUGAUGUUUCUUCCCAUUUCGGUUCUUCUUUCCACGAUACAUACGGACGUUGCUGGAGCGAGCGCCAUUUAAUGUCCUUUGGUAUCCAUUCCCUAAGUAUUAAACUUGCUCAAAUACCACUUUGUCACAGACUUAGAGUAUUCGUGCGGCACUUGACAACUUAAUCACGAAUCUUUCAAGAUCUUGUAAGCUCAAGUUAGCCUUUAAGACUCGGAACGCUAGGAAAAUGCAAAGAAAUAAUUAGAAAGAACAAAAGAGAACUCUGGAAAAAAGGCUUUUGUAUUGCUUUGAAAGAUUACAUACAACUAGCUUUGUUGAUUUACAAAUGAGAUCCCCCUAUUUAUACUACUUCAGAGGGGCUAAAGUGUAAAUAAAAAUUAUUUACAAGUUCCUAUUCUAGGAAAGUCUGCACUUUCUAGGAUCUUUCAAAGCCUUUCUUGAAAAUUCUAAGUUAUUCUAGAGAAUUCUAAGGAAUUCUCUAGCCUUCUUGAAUAAUCUAGAAGGUUGUAGAGUUUUCCAUAAACCUCUCAACAACUGUAGACCCUUGAGCCUCUAUCCGAAUGCAUAAUUUAACAAGGAUGUGGCGGGACGUCACACAAUAGUGACUUUUAGGAAAUAUCUUUAGUUUUGAAUCUCGAUUGUGCGUUCUUGGUCCAGUUUUCAUUCCUAUCGUGUAAUUCCAUUCACUCUCAUGUAUCUGAUGACUUAUGUGUGGUUCCUCAUGUGAGCACGCAGUUGGCGUGUCGUGUAUCACUUGAAUGUUAGACUUAGUACUUUUGUGGAAUUAAUAAACUUAUGAAAAUUAUUUGUGGGUAGGUUAAGAAUAUUUAGACAUUUUGAAGAAUUGAGUAAGUUGAUGACUCAGUCAUGCAUUCUGAGGAUAUUCGAAUGAUGAGGUUGAACAAUAGUUUGAGAGAUUUAUGAAUUUAUUUCUGUUAAGUUAGUUACCCUAAUUAAGGGAAUAAUACUUGUGUGGUAUAGGUAAUAUCAUAAACUAGUUUGAUAAUUGAAAGUGGAAAGAUUAAAAUAAUUGAAAGGUGAUGAAUAAUGUCACUUAGAAAACUAUAGUCGUAAUUUUGUUAUAAUAUAUAUGGUCUAGUUAGUGAAUGAUGAGACUGAUGUUAGGUCAGAAUCUCUAUUGUAGUUUCAUAGAUUCAGUGCAUAUCAAAGACGAACAAAAAUGACUAUUACACUAGUAUAUAUGCUUGCUUGGUUAGAGUUAUUUAGUGUGUUACUUUUGAUAUUGACCAGACCUACAAAAGAAUACAUAUAGCUUUAGGAGAUACCUAAUUAAUUUGGUAAUAUUUUAGAUCUAUUUGAUGGGUAGAAAAAUGUUUGACUUAUUUGGAUAUGAUCUUCUCGAUAGGUAUGGUGUUUUUUAGUAGUGGAUUUAACAGUCUUUGCAAUGUGGUACUAAUGGUAUAUGAAAAUUGAUACGUUCAUGUCAAGUGUCAUAAUUAACUACUUAACGGGUUAUCAGUUUUAUUACAUGCUCGUAUAGUGAGAUUCAAUAUUGUAUUCACCUUGGAGAAAUAACCUAGGUUGUUACUGCAGUUGGUUGGGGUUAAACGUGCGCAUAAGGAAGAUUUUAGUGGUGGAUCAUUGAUAUGGUUUUGAUAUGUUUAGGUUGUUAAGUGUAUCUGGAGAAAUCUAGAUGAGGAUUGACAAUUUCAUCUUAAGGUCCAAGGAAAUAGAUAGGUACUAGAAUGACAAGCUUAUGAGUAAAGGAUGUCCAAAAGAGUAUACUUAUGUGAAGGCAAUUGAAUGUUUUUUUGUAAAAAGUGCAUAUAAUAGUGGGUUAAUCCCUUGGAUUUGAUUGUUAUAAUUAGGUUUAAGGUGUCAUCAAUGACAAGAUUGACUUUGUAGUGAUGGAAAGGGCUAGCUGAGCAUGAUGGUAAUAAGAGUCUGCGAUAUGAUUUAGAUGCAACUAUAUAAUAAGGAUUGUUGGUUAAACAAAUUUGGUAUUGUAAUUACUACUUGCAAGUAUUUAAGUUUGUGGUUUCAUACUAUUUUGUGAGUAUCUUGAUUGAAUGGAAAGUUAUGGGAGAUGUGGAGACACUAUUUGUAUAAAAUUGAAAGGAGUUAGAGUCAUAAAUGAAGACAAUAAGUAUAAUAUAGCUUAGUCUUUGGAUAAAAGCGAUGGGGAAGAAAGAUAUUUGAGUUCAGAGACAUGUGAUUUCAUCUAUUUUCUCUACUUAUGAUAAUUGUGUCACAGGUUCAUCACAUUAGUUUUUUUAAAAAAAAUAAACCCAUUGGAUAAAAUUGAUAAAUGUGUGUACAUACGUUCAGGUCCAGUGCAAUGAUAAGAUUUUAUUUUUAAAAAAAAAUUGAUUUUGAGUUUGGUAAUGAGUACGGUUGAACUUUUAGCGAAAGAUAUGAUAAGUUCAAUGAAGAGGAAUCACUGAUAAGCUAUGAUACCUGAAUAUUUACAAAAAUUCAAGCUAUGAGCUAAUAAUGAUAGAUAAUCAUAUUGUGUUACAUGGUUGAGAUAAAAAAAUUCAUGUUUUUCAUGGUGAGUUUAUGUUCAUGGUAGUAUUUUUUUUCAAGGUAUGGAUUGAUAAGGUAAAAAAUGAUCGAUCACAUUAAUUGAGUGUGAAGUAUUUCGGAGGACUUAAAAACACAAUUUGAGUAGUAAAUUUUGUUACUCUUGAUUAUUAGAGGUCAAAAGAAAGUACUUCUCUUCAAGUUUUGUUACAAAGUAUAAGGUAAAAAAAUGACACGGGGUGUUGGAUAAAGAAUAAUAUUGGUGAGCGAGUUAUCAAAAGGAACAAAAAUAUGGUGUAGAGAAGAGUUCAAGAUUUUUUAAUUUAUGUGUCAUGGGAAAAAUUUAUGAAAAAGUUAAGGAUUAUGACCUCUCGUAUAAACCUCUAAUUUGUAGUUGAAGGAUUUAUUGCAUAUGAAUUAAGAUAUGAUUGUGAGAUGUGAAUUAGUCCUACAUGGACUUACAAGGAACUUAUCAUCUAUUUUUCUAAAGAUUGAGUUUUGAUUGGGUGAAAAGCAACUAUGUGUGAAAUAUUUUAUAUAUGUGGUCAUGUAAAGUUCGCUGUUUCAAAUUAUAGUAACUUAUUGAUGUUAAACGGUGAGGACCUACAAUUUUACAUGAUUAAUGAGCAUUUGAGGGAAUUCAAAAUACUUAAAUGAUGAAACUAUAUAGAAUGUUAUGAUAUGUUACUUAGGCAUUUGAUGGCGAGUAGAGUUUAUGAGCAUAUAUUAUAAAAUAUUGUUGGAGUGACUAAGAAUUUAUCUAGUUUUUACAUGAGGCAUAUGAUGCUGUGAAAGAUAGUUAAAAUUUGGUAUGAGAGAGAUUAUGUGGAGUUUACUUGGGAGCGACUCAAUAGCUUACAUUGAAAGGUAAACUUUUUUAGAUUCGGAAUUAGUGCAAUCGACCUUAAGUGGAGCUUGUAUCUAUCAUGAAAUACUUAUUUGAAAAGGGAGGGAGCCAUAAUUAUAAAAAUUUUAAGGGGAUAAUAUGUUUUCUAAGAAGACUUUAAUAGUAGUGACGGGUAGCGAGUAAGGUAAAUGGCUGGUGUGUCUUUGAUGUUUUGUUAGUAUUAAGAGUGUUGACCCAAGUGAAAGAUUGUGAAGAACAAAUGUGGUUCGAUAAAACAAGUGUGUGAGCAAUUAUAAUCGGGACUAAAUCAGUAAUUGUGGGUAAUUAGAAAAUCAAAAUGAUAAAGUUGUAUGAAUGAAAAUAUUUGAUAUAGACAAUAUGGAAGAAAUAUCUAGUGUUAUAUGACAUUAGUUAUGUAUAUUUUUAUAUGACCACUUACUUCGUUCUAGACAUGAUUAGAGUAUAACUCACUACCUAUCCCCACACAUAGUUUUACUUUGGUGGGUAAAUUCCUAGUGGUGUAUCGGAUAUACUGAUCUCGUGAUAUCCUCUUGGUAGUAUAGAAUGCUUGGGUAGAUUUGGUGUUGCAUUGGGGCAAUUAAAGUUUUCGAGUAGCCUUACACGUACUAACUUGCUUAUGAGAACUUAUGUAAGAGCUACUAUAUAUGAAUAGUUACAAUUGUCUAAAAGUGUUGUUAGAAAUUCAGCAUUUUGAAGUGUAUCGUUUGUUCGAUGUUUACUUGAUCUUAUUCUUCUUUUUGGAUAGAUAAGUUGUAUUCUCUCUUUAUGAGUACGAAAUGUCUAAAGAACAUUUUUUAUAGUUUAAACUCGUUAAAAAUAUAAUUUUGUGAGAAGGAAAUCUUGAUAAGAAAUGUAACAAUUUGUGCAUUUUGAAUGUCUGCUGGUUAAUCCAGGCUCAUUUCUAAUUUGUUGUCCCUAUUGAUUCAGACGAUUAUAUUGGAUAUGUGAGAAUAGACUGGUCAUGGUGGUUGUGUUAAGUUCCAAUCAGUUUGAGUUUAUAUUCACUUCAAGAGUUAGUUGUGACUUAAUAACCCCUCUUAAUUUUUAGCUUUUUCAAAGUUUGAUUCGAAGGUUCAACUCUUAGUAGUUGAUCUUGAUGGAAUGGUCUUAAGAGGAGCUCACUCAAAUAUAUAAUCAUCGAUUAGUAGGUCAUAACUCAAGUUUUUGGUAACAUUAGUUGUUCCUUCUUUUUCCUUGUUGUAACACCCCGUAUCCAAAACAGACCAAAAAUCCAUUUUCCAGAAAAUUUGCUGAUGCAAUUGACGGUGGCCAUUGUCGGACUGUUAUUAAACCCAUGGUCCGUUCUGUACAUUCAUCGAUGGAUUAAGAAACCCCAAAAAUCUAAGCCCUAGAAAAUUUGACGAAGUGUCGAAUUAUAGACAGAACUACGGUCCAUAGUCUGUGUCCGUCGAUCCAUAUCCCAUUCACCCACUCUCUGAGAUGAACCAUGGAUGACCAACACAGACCGUCGUUGGAUCUACGAUUCGUAGGUUGAAAUUAACAGACAGUUAGAGGGAAAAUGUAGUUCGAUCAAAUUCAAAUGAUCAUACCUCUUAGCACAAAAUGAAUUUUAUGUCCCAUGACAUACCCACAAAUAUAUAAUUGAAUUAUCUUUCCAUAGUCACCAACCUUGCUAAAAUCAGACCUCUGAGUAAAAUGUUAUGCACCUUUUAGUAAAGUCUUGUUGAACAAGCCCAACCUACAGACCCAAACGACGGCCUGACGUUUGAAAGACAGCCUAUCAGCCCACGUCGUCGUUUAGUCCGACAACAAAUAACUCAGGGGUCUUUUGGUGUUUUCUAACUUUGUUUAAACCCUAUGAUACGACGUUUUGACCCUAAAUCAUCAGAUUUUAGUCAGUUUAAGCGUAGAAACAUAAAUAAAACUUUUCUAAGUCAAAAUAAUAAAUUAAAACAUAGAAAAUUAGAAGAAAGAAAUGAGAAAAAGGUCAAGAUCCCUAGUUCAAGAACACAACAAGUUUCCAACAGUUCCUUCCCCAAAACAUAAGUAUUUUUUCGUUAAUUUCAUCACCAAAUAUGUGGGAUUUCACUAUUGGGUUCCUUUCACCAUUUCGAUCCCUAGUUUUCUGUCAGAUUCUUGAUUCCAUAUCAUUAUUAGACAUAGGGUUUCUAGAACUUCAACAGAACUUUAUGAAUUUAUUUGUUAUAUGUUCCAAAUAAGAUUAUAAUGUUAUUACUCAGAUUAUUGCAUGAUUUUCAGAGUCCUAGCUAUGUAUUUCUUUAGUUCUUUAAUUACCAAUGCCAUGUUAGAUAUUUCAGUUACUUCACAUAUACAUGCCUUAGUUAUAAAUGCAUAAUUAGGAUAUUAAUUGUUGCAAUCUUUGUUUGCAUGUUAUGUUUUGAGCAAUAUAAUAUUUACAUAAUCUCAUAAUCAAUUUAUUACAUAAUUCAUUAGAAGUAGUAUAAUACUGACUUGCACUAGGGUUCAACAUACCCUAUUAGUCCCAGAACUACUAGCAAAGUAGGUUGUAACUCCCCUCAGUAGGCAAUAAGUUUAUUGAUCAUACCAGCACAGUUUUAUACCUCUGGCAGGGUAUAUUAGAUCUUCUCGAAGGAGCGUAUACAAUGGAAUCCACAUUUAGCUCAUGUGGUUUUAUUAUCGAUUAUUCGUAUAUCCCGUAGUUUAGUCAGACUCUCUUGGAUUGACAAUUUAUCAGUAUAUUCAGUAUUCCGUUCGAUCAUGUCAUAAAUUAGUCGUAGUAUCCAGUUAGCUCAGAAUUCAUUAUAUCAUAUUCUUAUUAUUAUACUUUUUUUUAUGUUUUUUCAGUUAUGUUUUAAUUUCAACUUUAUUCUAUCCUACAUGCUCAGUACCAUUCAAGUACUGACGCAUACAUACGCUACAUCUUCUCGUGAUGUAGGUUCAGGUUCUUAGCAUCCAAAUAACCCUUAGAUCGAUAUUCGAUCUCCAGUUUAGCAGAUUCAGUGGUGAGUCCUCAUUCUCCUAGGACAAUAGUCAUGAGUUUCUUUUAAGUCUUUUACUCAUUUAGUUUUAGUUUUUACUAGACCUAAUUGGGGCUUAUCCUAGUAUUUCUAGUCAUUUAGAGGCUAACUUCAGACAUAGUUAGUUUUAACUUAGUAGUGGGUUAGUAUUUUCUUUGUAUUAAACUCAGCAGUUUCAUAUAUCUCAUAUUUAGCAUAUGGGUACUUCCCAUCUUUUCAUUUUAAGUAUGAUUUAGUUUCCGCAACAGUUUAUACUCUUUAGUAUACUCAUGUUCAUGCCAACAGGGUUAGCUUGGGAUCGCUUGUGUCCUAGGUUCCGUGUACACGUCUUAGGUGUAGCUCGUGGCGUGACAAUUAUGUUCGAAGACAACCUCAUUUUUAGUGGUGGAUAAUAUAAUGACCCAGAAAAUGAUAUUUGAAAAAGUUUGAGUUAUUUGCUAAUUAUGAUUAUUUAGUUGAUGGAUAUUUAAUAUUUAAUAAAAAAAUUAAUUUAGUUGGUGUUUAAUUGACCAAAUCCAUAAUUAAUUUUUAUAUAUACCAUAUAUUACUUGAGUCAUAUAAUGAAAUAAGUUAAUAGGGUUUAAUAAUUAUAAAUUAUAAAUGGGCAAGGGAAAUAUAAAACCAUCUUAACGAGAGGAUUACUAUGAGGCGACCAUCAGAAGACAAGACAACAUAACUCUUUACUGAUAGCUUCAGGUAAAAAGGAAAAAUAACAACAUAUCCAUAUCUUAACAUAGUUAUGCUAAGUGUUUGUUUGUAAUUAUAUACAUGUUCAAUCAUUAUUGUAUUUAGUGGAAACAUUAGUUUUCUUUUUAUAAGUGUACUAAGAACUGCAAACUAAAAUUUGAAUUGGAAUUUAAGAUCAAUUAUUGAGGACUACAAAAAAAAUUUCAAUAAUAAUGAUGGAUUAAUCAAUGGGUGUAAAUUGUUGGAAUUUGGCUAUUGUUUUAUGGCGUAUGUUACAUGUGGCAUGACAUAGCAUGAAAUUUAGGCAUUUAAUAGUUAUCAUAUUAUGAGUCAAGCUUUGGAAUAAUAAUAUGACUAAUUAAAUGGCGAUUGUAUUAUAUUAUAUGAAAAGUCGCACUAAGUAGAGUCCUUUUCAUGGGUGUGAAGUGCACCACAUCUAAUGAGAGAAAGAUUAUGAAGUGUUCUAGGAAAAACAUCACUUUCUUGUUACUCUUAUGUUGCGUGAGGUAUGAUCUUAUUCCAUUCUAACUUAACGUUCUACGCUUCAGAUCAUGCCUCCUCGUAGACCUAAUUAUAGGAAUGCUAAUGCCAGGAAUGUGAACGCAACUCUUCCUGUCCUAGAUCAAAAAGUCUCCAAUGCUGAGUUCAGAAAAGCUAUACAGAUUUUGGCUCAGAUUAUGACCAAACAGAACAAUCGGGUUCAUGCUCACAUGAAUGAAAAUGGUGGAUUAGUAGCAGUAAGGUCCAUGACUUUGUUCUGAUGAAUCUAUAUGAGUUCUUAGGAUAACAAAUUAAUGAGGAUACUCAGAAUUUCAUGGAAGAGAUCAAGAAGAUGUUUGAGGUAAUGCAAGCCACUAGGAAUGAUCUUGUUGAUUGUCGGGUUGAGCUGGCAUCAUACAAGUUCAAGGAUGUUUCUCAUAUCUUGUACACUCAUUGGAAGGAAAAUAGCGGUACAAAUGCAGCUCCUAUUACUUGGGAGUGAUUUAGUGAGACCUUCCAUUACAGGUUUUCCCAAUCAAGUUGAGAGAAUAAAAAGUCCAAGAAUUCAUGAACUUAAGGCAGGGAAACAUGACGGUCCAUGUGUAUAGGCUGAAGUUUAACAAACUCUCUAGGUAUGAUCCUCACAUAGUUGCUGACCCCAUGGCUCAAAUGAAUAACUUAUUGUAUGGAGUGUCGGAUUAGGUGAAAAAAGAGUGCACAAAUGCUAUGUUGCUUGGAAAUAUGAACAUCUCUAGUCUUAGGACUCAUGCUCAGCAGGUUGAGGGUGAUAAGCUGAGGGAACAUGCUAAGGAGAAUAAGAAAGUUAGGACAAAGAACUAUGACUAUUCUCAGCAGAAAUCGGGUGGUGGAAAUCUCUCGCAAAUCCAGCAAAUGAUUUUAACUCCAGCCUCUUCAUCAGCUAGUCUUCCAUCCUCCAAGAACACGUAUGACAAGAAGGGUAGAACACCAGGAUCUAAGCCUCAGAGAAGUGUUUCAGGCACCAAGACUUACCCCACUUGCCCUAAGUGUGGUAAGAACAAUCCGGGCGAGUGUCUCACAAGAAAAGAAUGAUCUUUUAGGUGCGGUGAGUCUGGUCACAGGUUGAAGGAUUGUCUUUCUAGAUAGGGUGAAAGAGGUGGAAAUGGUAGAGCUUAGUCCACAACUUCAGCAGCUCCAACAAGUGGCUCGACUCAGUAGGGUAACUCAUCUUGUACAGGUGAUUGUCAGCACCAGAACAGGUUGUAUGCUCUUCAGGCUCUCCAGGAUCAGGAAGGUUUUCCUGAUGUAGUCACUAGUAUGUUACGAGUAUUUGACUUUGAUAUUUAUGCAUUGGUAGAUCCAAGGGCUACUCUUAUUUUUGUAACUCCUUAUAUAGCAGUACAAUUUAGUGUUAGUAAAAAAACUCUCUCAGAAUCUUUCUCAAUAUCUACUCUAGUUGGUGACCCAAUCAUAGCUAGACGGGUACACAUAAAUUGCCCUGUCAGAGUAUCUUAGAAAGUCACCUCAACAGAUCUUGUAGAGCUAGGUAUGGUAGACUUUGAUGUCAUUCUAGGCAUGGAUUGGUUACAUUCUAGUUAUGACUCAGUCGAUUGUAGAAAUAUGAUUGUUUGUUUUCAGUUUCUAGAUGAACCAAUCUUAGAAUGAAAGGGUAGUAACUUAGCGCCUAUAGUCGAUUCAUCUCUUAACUUAAGGCAAAAAAGAUGAUCUUAAAGGGUUAUCUCUAUCAUUCUAGUUUGUGUUAAGGAUUCUAGAUGUGAAACCCCAACUUUUGAGUCUGUUUCAGUAGUCUAUGAGUUUGCAGAAGUGUUUCCUGAAGAUCUUCCCGUAGUCCCUCCCGAAAGGGAAAUCGACUUGGAAUUGAUCUCCUACCAGAUAUCCAACCUAUUUCUAAUUCUCCUUACAGAAUGGCAACAACAGAACUUAAGGAAUUUAAAGAGUAGUUGAAAGACCUUCUAGAUAAGGGCUUCAUCAGACUUAGUAUUUUAACAUGAGGUGCGCCAAUUUUUUUCGUAAUGAAGAAAGAUGGUUCUCUUAUAAUGUUCAUUAACUAUAGACAGUUGAACAAUGUCACAAUCAAGAAUAAGUAUCCCAUUCCCAAGAUUGAUGAAUUGCUUAACCAACUUCAGGGUGCUAGUAAUUUCUCAAAGAUAGACCUCAGAUUGGGUUAUCAUUACCUCAGAGCGAGAGAUAGUGACAUUCGGAAAACAGCCUUCAAAACUCGGUAUGGUUAUUAUGAGUUUUUGUUUAUAUCAUUUAGAUUAAGAAAUGCUCCUGCAACUUUCAUGGAUUCGAUGAACAAAUGUUCAAACAGUUCUUGGACUUGUUCGUUUACAUAUUCAUUGAUAAUAUCCUCAUUUAAUCUAGGAAUAAGAAAGAACAUGCGAGUCAUUUGAAAAUUGUUCUAUAGACUCUCAAGGAUCGGUAGUUAUUCCUGAAGUUUAGCAUGUGAGUUUUAGUAGAAAUUCGUUGCUUUCCCUGGUCACAUUAUAACUACUGAAGGGAUCCUAGUGGAUUCACAUAAGGUAGAAGCAGUGAAACAAUGGCCUAGACUUACCUCUACUUCAGAUAUUAGAAGUUUCUUAGGUUUAGCGGGUUAUUAUUGAAGGUUCGUGUAAGGAUUUUUAGCUGGAGCCUCACUAUUGAACAGGUUGACUAAGAAGAUGGUCAAGUUUUAAUGGUCAAAUGUUUGUGAGAAAAACUUUGCAUAAUUGAAAACAAGAAAGACUUUAUCUUCUAUCUUGACUCUACCAGAGGGUUUAGAUGGUUAUGUGAUCUAUUGUGAUGCAACCGGAGUUGGCCUAGAUUUGGUGUUGAUGCAGCGAAGUAAGGUUAUAGCAUAUUCUUCUAGAUAGCUUAACGUGCAUUAGAAGAACUAUCCAUCUCAUGACCUCGAGAUUGAAGCAGUGGUAUUUGCACUCAAGAUAUGGAUACACUACUCAUAUGGUGUUUAUGUAGAUGUGUUCACUGACAAUAGGAGCCUUCAGUAUGUGUUCACCCAGAAAGAGUUGAACCUUUGAUAGAGGAGAUGGCUUGAGUUCCUUAAGGAUUAUGAUAUGAGUGUGCAUUAUCAUCUUUCUAAGGCAAAUGCAGUAGCAUAUGUUCUUAGAAGAUUAUCUAUGGGUAGUGUAGCCCAUGUUGAGGAAUUAAAGAAGGAGCUAGUGAAGGAAUUUCACAGGCUUGCUCGCUUACGAGUUUGCCUUAUGAGCAUAACAUACAAUGGUGUAACAGUUCAAAAUGUGGCAGAAUCUUCUUUGGUAGUGGAGCUUAAGGAAAUGCAAGACAGUGAACCAAUUUUUCUUGAACUUAAGAAUGCAGUCCACAAUCAUAGAGUGGAAUUCUCCCAAAGGGGAGAUGGGGUACUUCCCUACCAGGGUAGAUUGUGUGUUCCUUAUGUGGGUGUGUUGAGAACGCAUAUCCUUACAGAAGCCCAUAACUCCAGAUAUUCUAUUCACUUAGGUGCCACUAAGAUGUACCACGAUCUUUGAGAAGCUUAUUGGUGGAAUGGCAUGAAGAGGGACAUAGCAAAUUUUGUGUGUACGUGCCCCAAUUGCCAGCAAGUAAAGGUAGAACAUCAAAACCUAUGAGGUAUGACUCAAGAGAUCGAUAUUUCCACUUGGAAGUGGGAAGUGAUCAAUAUGGAUUUAAUCGCAUGAUUAACUCGUACUAGCUGACAAGAUGACUCAAUUAGGGUGAUAGUUGAUAGGAUGACUAAAUCUUCUUACUUUUUAGCGGUCAAGACUAUAGAUUCGGCAGAGGACUAUGACAAGAUUUACAUUAAUGAAAUUGUGAGGUUGCAUGGGGUUCUUUUGUAUAUCAUCUCUGUUAAAGGUCCUCAGUUUACCUCUCAUUUCUGGAAGUCAUUUCAGAAGGGUCUUGGUACUCAAGUUGAACUUAGUAUAACAUUUCAUCAACAGAUGGAUGGACAGGCACAACAUAACAUUCAUACCCUAGAGGAUAUGAUUAGAGCUUGUGUGAUCGAUUUCAAGGGUAGUUGUGAUCACCUUCCUCUAAAUGAGUUUGCCUACAACAUUAGCUACCAUUCCAGCAUUCAGAUGGCUCCUUGUGAAGCUUUUAAUGGGCGUAGAUGUAGAUAUCCUUUUGGUUGGUUUUAAGUAGGUGAAGCAACUUUGAUAGAGCCAGAUUGUGUCCUUUAUGCUAUGGAGAAAGUACAACUCAUUAGAGAUAGACUUAAGACAGCCCAAAGUUGUCAGAUAUCUUAUUUACAUGUGAGAAGAAGGGAACUAGAGUUCUAAGUAAAUGAUUGGAUUUUUCUGAAAGUCUCACCUUUGAAAGGGGUGAUGAGAUUUGGCAAGAAAGGGAAGAUAAGUCCUAGAUAUGUAGGACCUUAAAAUAUCUUUAAAAGGGUUGGAAAGAUGGAAUAUGAGUUAGAUUUGCCAACAGAGAUAGCAGCAGUACAUCCGCUCUUCCACAUCUCACUCUUGAAGAAGUGUGUGGGUUAUUCAACCUCUGUAUUGCCAUUAGAGAAUGUGGCGGAUAAAGAUAGUAUUUUUUACGAAUAUGUACCAUUUGAGAUUCUUGAUCAUCAGGUUAGAAGGUUGAGAAAUAAAAAAGUUGCUUUAGUCAAGGUUUUGUGGAGGAGUUAGUCCAUAGAGGGAUCUACUUGGGAAGCAGAAGUAGCCAUGAAAGCCAAGUAUACUCACCUCUUUCCUUCUGACUGCACUCCAUCUUUAUGUAAUAGUUACUCUUCAAUUUUCCAGUCAUUCAUGCAUAAAUUCAGUCUUAGAAUCAUGUUCCCUCAGUUUGUACUUGCAUUUUCACUGUAUUUGCAUGUUCUCGGAACAUAAUUCAUUCAGAAACUAAGCUCCAGCGAUUAGUAGUUAGGUUUGCAGCUCUGUAUCUCUAUUCAAGCUAGUUUAGUCUUCAUUGAGGACGAAUGUUCCCAAGGGGAAGAUAAUGUAAUACCGUAUCCAAAACAGAAAAAAAAUCAGUUUUUUAGAAAAAUCUGUUGGAGCAACAACAGUGGCCAUCGACCAUUGUAGCAUGAUCUACGGUCCGUCCUGCACAUCCGUUGAGAGAGUCAAAAACCACCCAAAAUCUUUAUAAAGAAAAUUUGACUAAGUGUCAUACGAAGGACGCACUGACGGUCCAUAGAUCAAACUACGGUCUGUGUCCGUCGAUCGACACCCAAUUCACCCUCUCUCUGACAAGAACCACGAUUGACUAGCACGGUCCAUAGAUGGACCUACGGUCCGUCGGUGAAAAUGAACGGACAUUUAAAGGGAAAAUAGAGUUGCAUAAACUUCAAUUGAUCAUAACUCUUAGCACAAAAUGAAUUAGGUAUCUCAUGAUAUACCCACAGAUAGAUAAUUGAAUUAGCUUUCCAUAGCCAUUAAACUAGCUAAAAUCAAACGUCCGAGUAAAACUAUAUGCUCAUGUUAGUAAAGGCCUAUUGAACCGGCCCAACCUACGAACGCAAAUGAAGAAUAGUAGAUGGAAUGAUGAACCAUUUGUCUAGGUCGUCGUUUGGUGCGACAACAAUUAUUCUAGGGGUCUUUUGUUCUUUACCUAAUUUUUUUAAACCUUAAGAUAUGUCGUUUUGACCCUAAAUCAUCUGAUUUUAGUAUGUUUAAGGCUAAAACAUAACUAAAACUUACCCUAAGUCAAAUCAUCACACAAAACAUAGAAAAUUAGAAGUAAGAAAGGAGAAGAAGGUCAAAAAACCGUAGUUUUAGAAUGCAACUUGGUUUUAGCAGUUCUAGCCCCGAAAUCAAAGUGUUUCUUCGUGAAUAACAUCACCAGGUAAGUGGGAUUUCACUUGUGGGUUUCGUUCACCCAUUGUGUCCCUAGUUUUCAAACAGUUUUUGAUUCUUUUAUCAUGAUUAAACUUAGGGUUUCUAGAACUUUGAUAUAACUUCAUGAAUUUAUUAGAUAUAUGUUCCGAAUAAGAUUUUAAAUUUAUUAUUCAGUUUAUCGAAUAAACUUCAGAACCCUAGCUUUGUAUUUCUUUAGUUCUUGAGUUACACAUGCUAGGUUAGAUAUUUCAGCUAUUCAGUUAUACAUGCCUCAGUUUUUAAUGCAUCAUUAGCAGAUUAAAUGUUGCAUUAUGAGUUUUCAUGUUUAAUUUUUAGCUAUCCCAUAAUUACAAAAAAUUAAGACAUAGUCAGUUAACUAUAUAAAUCAAUGGGAGUAGCAUAAUACCGAGUUGGACUAGGUUCUGGCGUACCCAAUUAGUUCCAGAACUACUAGCCAAGUAGGUUUUAUAAGUUCCCUUAGUAGGCAAUUAAUUUAGUGAUCACGCUAGCAUGCCUUUAUACCUUUGGUAGGGUAUAUUAGGUCUUCUUGAUGGGGCGUAUACAUCGGACUCCACAUUUAGCUCAUGUGGUUUUAUUAUCAGUUAUUAGUAUAUCCCAAAGUUAUGUCAGUCUCUUUUGCAUUAACUAUUUAUCAGUAUCCUCAGUAUUCAGUUUCAACAUUUUAUAAACUAUCCAUUGCAUUCAGUUAGCUCAGAAACUUAGUAUAUCCUAUUUAGAUUAUUAUACUUGCUUUUGUGCUUGUUCAAUUAUGUUUAAUUUCAGCUUUAUUCUAUCAUACAUGCUAAGUACCUUCCAAGUACUGAUGCAUAUGUGCCCUACAUCUUCUUGUGAUGUAGGUUCAGGUUCUCAGCAUCUACAUCAUGCUUAGAUCGAUUUCUGAUCUUCAGUUCAGCAGAUUAAGUAGUGAGUCCUCAUUCUCCGAUGACGAUAGUCAUGAGUUUGUUUUUAGUAUUUAGUCUUUUAGUUUUAGUUUUUGCUGGAUUUAUCUGAAGAUUGUCCUAGUAUUUCUAGUCCAAUUUAGAUGCUAUUUUCAGACAUAGUUAGUUUUAGCUUAGUAUUGAGUCAAUAUUUCCUUUGUAUUAAAUUUUUUGUUUUCAAAUAUCUCAGAUUUAGCAUAUGGGUAUUUCCUUAUCUUUUCAUUAAAGUAUGUAGUUUCUGAAACACUUUGUAUUCUUUAGUGUGCUCAUGAUCAUGCUAGCAGGGUUAGCUUGGGAUCACUUGUGUGCUAGGUUCCGUGUCCGCGUCUUGGGAGUAUCUCGGGGCGUGACACUUAUGUUCGAGGACGAACAUAGUUUUUAGUGGUGGAUAAUGUAAUGAUCCAUAAAAUCAUAUUUGAAAAAGUUUGAGUUAUUUGCUACUUAUGAUUAUUUAGUUGAUGGAUUUUUAAAAUUUAUUAAAUAAAUUAAUAUAGUUUGUGGUUAAUUGACUAAAUCUAUAAUUAAUUUAUAUAUAUAUAUACCAUAUAUUUCUUGACUCAUAUAUUGAAAUAAUUUAGUAAGAUUUAAUAAUUGUAAAUCAUAAAUUGUGCAAGGGAAAUAUAACACCUUCUGAGCGAAAGGAUGACCAUGCGGUGACCACCAGAAGAGAAGACCAUAAUUCUUUCGUGAUUGCUUCAGGUAAAAAUAAAAAAUAAAAAUAUAUCCAUAUCGUAACAUAGUUAUGCUAGGUGUUAGUUUGUAUGUAUAUAUAUGUUCAACAUAUUAUUGUAUUUGGUGAAACUUUAGUUUUGUUUUUAUACGAGUAUUAAGGGCUGCUAACUAAAACUUGAAUUGGAAUUUAAGGUCAAUUAUUGAGGACUAUAAAAAAAUAUUAAUAAUAAAAAUGAUGGAUUAAUCAAUGGCUGCAAAUUGUUGGAAUUUUGCUACUGUUUCAUGGCGUAGGUUCCUUGUGGCAUGACUUAUCAUGAAAUUUAGGCAUUUUCUAUAAUUUUCAUAUUAUGACUCAAGCUUUGGAAUAUUAAGAUUACUAAGUAAAUGUUGAGUGUAUUAUAUUAUAUGAAAACUAUUAGGGUUAUAGUGUUUCGAGAAAUUAUGACUUAACCCUAGAUAGUAAAUAUGUGAAAGAUUAUAUUAGACCUAUUGCUUGGAAUCAAUAUUUUGAAUCUUGAUUAUCGAUUUGGGGUUAGGUUUUAGGUCUAGGCUAGACAUAUCUAUUGUGAUGUAGGUGUUUAUAAUUUUGAAAUCUUUAUUUGAAUAGAUUUUAUUGGUUUGGAAGUUAACUGAAAGAGGAAGAUUCAAGUUCUGGAGUCAUUGUUCGACUAUUUCAGGCAAGUGGAUUUCUAAACUCAUGUUAAGUGUAUGGAAUGCAUGUAUUUCAUUUUGGUAUUUGUUUGGGAAAAAUGGCAUUUUGUGAUGUGUUGAUUUUUCCACAUUGAUGAAUUUUAAGGAUGAAAAAGGGGUAACAAAAAGCAGUGUGAUUAAUUAUUUAUGUGUGAUGUCUUGAUAAGGUUUGAAGGCUUGUUGAAUCGUUUUUCAUGUGAUAUCAUGUUUGUGUUGCUGUGAGUUGUGCAAAAAUAUGAAAAUGGUCAUCUUCUCAUUAUUUGUGUGAACAUGUCAUUUGCAUUAUAAUGAGACAUAGUUGUUACAAGUGUUAUGUGCAUUGAUAAAGAAUGAGAACUUAAAGAGGAUGUACCAUUUCGAUGGACGUAUCGCUCCCCGUAAUGGAUUGUAUAUUUCGAGAGACGUAUCGCAUGUUGUGAUGGUUACUAUUUCUAACAUUUCGAAAAUCAAGAUGUGUCUUGAAUACUAGCAUAGGUGCCAUGGGGUCUAAACACUUUUUAAGGCUUGUUAUAAUUAAUAUAGUCCAUUUAGCAAGUUUAGGAACCAAACAGCCAAGAACAUCCAUGACGUUCGGAAACUUGUUAUAAGGGCUACUAGCGUACCUUAGCUUAUUUGACUAGGUUUAGAAGUUAGAAAUUCAUGAAAUUAUGUGGAAGGGUGUAUAACAUAUUUUUAAUAUGAUUCAUGGUCUAAAUGUCCGAGUACGACUCCCCAAGGACCAACUACUUGGACAGUGUGUAACCACGAGACAUAGUCGACUAUCCGUGUGUGGAUAGACGGGGCGUCAUUGCCAACCUUAGACCAAAACUUAGACUUUUUUAUGAAGAACCUCAAUUUUAUAGUCUCUAACAAGAACGACGGAUGUCCAGCAUGGAAGGGCACAGUGACCGUCGACUCACAGAUGGACUGUCGAUCAUGGUCUCGUGUGUGAGGGUUUAAUUUCCUGCACAUUAUAAAUUAGUUUAAUUUAGUUAUUUAUAGGGAAGUGAUAAUAAGGGGUUUAAUGGAAUCUAAUUAAGUUAAUUAAGCCUCGAUAUAAAGACCCCCAACCCUUAUUAGUCUAAACACACAUCACGAAAUAAAAUCUCUUCCUUCUCUCUUAUUUCUCUCUCUAUUUGGCAAACAUCAUUGAAGACAAGCUAGGGGGUUUUGGGGAUUAAAAGGGAUGAUUUAACCAUCAAAUGUUCAUCACCCAUUGAGGUAUGAGAUCUAAUUAACAUGUGAGACUUCUUUCCUCAAAGGGCUCUCUUAAAGUAUUUGUAAAAGUUGGAUUUUCAAGUGGGUUUCAUUUGAUUACCAAUAUGAUGUUAUGAACUGAGUUGUUUAUUGUUUAUUUAGAAUAUAAUGAAUAGAUUGAUAGAUAUUUUAUAUAGAUUAUGAUAAUAUGUGAUGGUUUUAUCUAAAUAGAAGAACAUGAUCCUUAACUGUUAACCCUAGGUUUGUUAUUAAUGUUAUUUGGGCUGUGAUUGAUUCAAUUGACUUAAUUAUUGUACUAUCAGAUAAUGUUGUUACACUAAUCAUGAAAAAAUUACGAUUAUUUUUAGCCUUUCAUACUUGUUCUUGAGAAGUGAUCUAGGUGAUGAGAAUUGACACAAGUAUCUUGUCUUAAGCUUUGAUUUAGUAUUGAAUUUUGGUGUAGUGAGUCUUCUAGCCUUAUUAUCAUAUUCAUUAUUGAAUUAUGAUGUGGUACAUCCAAAUUGAAUUGAAUUGAGGGUUUAUUGUAAUACCUAAAUUAUGAACUAUGAAGAAAAAUUGGUAAGUCUUAUAAUCUUUAUCUUUACCUCCAAUUAUAAUUAAUUGUGGUUAAGCCAUGAUGUUCUAUUGGAGUAAGGCUUGUAUUAGGAUUGAUAGGAUGGUGUGACGCUUGAAUUGAAAUGUCUUGACUAUUUUCUGAAGUUGAUUAAGGUGUAUGUGUUGUAAGGAUGGUGAUGACUAUCAAUAAGCAUUAUUGUGAUACUAAAUGCUAACGUUCUAACCUCACUUAUAUGAAUUGUAAUGAAAGGACUUAUACUCAUACAAUUCGUAUUGAGCUAUUUAUGAUGAUGAUUAUAUAAGGGAUAGACCCUAUGACCUAAACUAAGCUAUGAUUGAUAAUUAAAUUCUUAAGACAUUUCAAAAGGGGGCUCUAGCUUUGCACCGAGUGAACUAGAUUGAGGAGUGUCCCUUCCAACAUAGGGAAGGUAGGAGCACUAAAGUACCUUUGAGAUUGGAGGCUACAAUGCAUGGAGAAUAAUGAGGGUCCUAACUGUACAUCCUAGUUCUUGAUAUAUGUUGCACCCAAAAGAAUACUAGAUAGAGUUCCACAUAGUUUCUAUUAUUUAUGUUUUGGUACUACCUUGCCAAGUAGUCCCCUUCCUUCCCUGUAGAGUUUUAUGAAACCGUAUUCGACACUAGCUCAUUUCGUCUAUGUCGGUUAGAGAAAGAUUUUCCCAAAAGAUAAAAUGAAUUAAAGGAUUGAACUUUAACUAGGAAAACAUAAGGGCUUUAGCUUGGUCUAGGUAGGGGUAUGUGAAUCUACCUAAUCAUUGCACUAGUUAGCCUUGAGGGGAGUCUUUGGAGGAUGUUCUUAUGUAUGUUUAUGCUUAUGAUAAUUUAUGAUAUAUAUAUAUGAAGAACUUGCACAUUAUUAAUACUGUAUGUUGACUAGUUCAAUUAUAACUAAAUGUUGAUUUAUAUGUGUUAGUCAUGAUUCUUGUUGGGUUAAUUAAUUGAUUAAGGUUAUGAGACUUUGCUUGGUCAUUGCACUUGUUGACCUGAUAGGGGUUCGAGGGUAAUUGUCUUGUUUUGUUAAAACGAAAUGUACUCUUAUUCAUGCAUGUGACGUCAUUCCUUGAUGAUAGGGUUGUAGUAGAUUAUGGGUUCAAGUAUGAUGAUAUGAAUAUUAAUUGUUUGAUUUCGUAAGCAUGUUUUGUUGCUUGGUAUGACUAUGCAUAAGACUUUGAAAGGGUAAAAUAGCAUGGUUUAACUAAAUGUUCCCUUUUCACUUAUUUUGAGCUUAUAUGUGCAUGUGGUUUCAUACUUAGUAAAAGUGGCGUACUAACCCCAUCUUCUCCUUUUUUCCUAAACAUUAUAGGUUACGGUUGUUGAAGGCUCAUUCGAAAAGACUUGAAGAGGAUUUGGAUAUUCUCUACCAUCCAAGUAGGUAGGUCCUCACUUUCCAAGGGCGAUGGCAAUAUCUUGCCUAUGAUGCUUCUUAGUUUUUAUAUGACUCUUAUGUUCAUUCCAUUUUCAUUUGAGUACGAUUUGUAUAAGCCUAUAUGUGGCUUAUUUACAUUGAUGUAGGGCUAUCCCAAAUUGCUAUGAUCGUGUAGAUGGUAUGAGAUGACAUAAUCCUUAAGACUAUGUUUUAUCUUACUUAUAUAUAUAUGUACAAUAAAAGUAGAAGACUGUGUAACCUUUCUAUACGAAGGGCGACGACGCCGGUUGUAUCUAGGAGGUAAACCCAAAGGUGACAAACAUGGUAUCAGAGCAUGAGGUUGAAUUAUCUUAGAGUCUAUGUCUCUCUCAACCAUGUCUAUGUAAUUUCGUGUUCAUAAUUGUGACGCGUACCACACUUAUAGACGAGAACCUACAUGAUGCCUAGAAAACUCUCCUUUUCUUGGAAAUUUUAUAUCGUGCCAUUAAAGUAUACUUAUGGUGUGCUUUUACAUAUAAUCCUUUUGUUUUUCUUAUAGGAAUAAUGAACACUCGAAGGAAUGUUGCAUGAAUACUUGAAGAGGAAAUUGCUAAUGCGAGAUCUCCUUCUCGUGGUGAGCAAGUUCCUCCACUCGCAAAAGAUGCUAAUAUGGAACAAGCUCUGGUUAAUCCUCCACCCUUGACACAUGGAGAUAUGAGGGUUUCCCUCAUCCAAUUGGCUCAAGCAACCAUUGUUCAAGCCCAAGCUAUGAGUGCCCAAUCCAAUCGGGAUAUUGUACCCCGUCCUCAUCAACAAGAUACUAUGGCUCCAAUCUAAGGGACUUCACUUAAUGAACCCUCUUACCUUCUACGGGUCUAAGGUUGAGAAAGACUUCCAAGAAUUCAUUGAUGAAUUCUACAAGAUACUUCUGGCUAUGGGGUUUUCCACAAGUGAAAAGGCCGAGCGGGUCACUUGUAAACUCAAGGAUGUGGCUCAAGCAUGGUUUGUGCAAUGGAGAGAUAAUAGGUCGUUGUGUGGUGGUCCUUUUACUUUGGAGAACUUCAAGAAGACUUUUUUUGAUCGGUUAUUUGGUAGGGAAAUGAGGGAAGCUAAAGUGGUGAAGUUCAUCAACCUUCACCAAGGAGGUACGAGGGCUCAUGAAUACUCUUUUAAAUUCACUAAAUUGUCGAAAUAUGCUCCUUCUUUGAUUCUGAUCCUACAGAUGAAAUGAGUGGCUUUGUUACGGGGGUGUCAGAUUGUUUGCAAAAAGAGUGUAAUUCAGCCAUGUUAGCUAAUAUGGAACAAGCUUCGGUUAAUUCUCCACCCUUGACAGAUGGAUAUAUGAGGGUUUCCCUUAUCCAAUUGGCUCAAGCCACCAUUGUUCAAGCCCAAGUUAUGAUGGCCCAAGCCAGCCGAGAUCUUGUAGCCCGUCCUCAUCAACAAGAUACGAUGGCUCCAAUCUUAGGGACUUCACAUAAUGAACCCUCUUACCUUCUACGGGUCUAUGGUUGAGAAAGACUUCCAAGAAUUCAUCGAUGAAGUCUAUAAGAUACUUCUGGCUAUGGGGUUUUCCACAAGUGAAAAGGCUGAGUGGAUCACUUAUCAACUUAAGGAUGUGGCUAAAGCAUGGUUUGUGCAAUGGAGAGAUAAUAGGUCGUUGUGUGGUUGUCCUUUUACUUGGGAGAUCCUUAAGAAGACUUUUCUUGACCGGUUAUUUCCUAGGGAAAUGAGGGAAGCUAAAGUGGUGAAGUUCAUCAACCUUCACCAAGGAGGUAUGAGUGUUCAUUAAUACUCAUUGAAAUUCACUAAAUUUUCGAAAUAUGCUCCUUCUUUGGUUUCUGAUCCUAGAGAUGAAAUGAGUUGCUUUGUUACGGGGGUGUCGGAUAUUAUGCAAAAGGAGUGUAAUUCGGCCAUGUUACAUGAAAACAUUAACAUUUCUCAUAUUAUGGUACAUGAAGAGUAUACGGCUAGGAGGAAGAGUAGAGAUGCUAAGAGGUCAAUAUAUUUUGAUGGAGGUUCUUCAAAGAAUAGGCUUGAUAUACAUGACAAGCCUAGGUUUAAGAAGCGGCUUUCAAGUCAAGUUCCUUCCAAGUUCCCAAAGGCUAGUGGUGAUAGGGUGUAUAACCCUAAGUUCAAGAAGGGAAAAGGUAAUAAUUCACUAACCGAGAAGCCAACUUAUGGAAAGUGUGGCAAGAAUCACUAUGGUGACAUCCUUAAGGAGACGAACAAUUGUUUUGGUUGUGGUAAAAGCAGUCACAAAGUUAUGGAUCGCCCUAAUAUUAGGGGUCAAGACAAGGGUUGGGUCAAGCCCAAGAAAGUGGUUCAAAUGUAGCUCCAAAUAAGAACUGCACCCGUGCUCUACACACUAGGGGUUAGCAAGAGACUUCUCCUGAAAUGGUGACCAGUAUGUUGAAAGUUUUCUCUUUUAAUGUACAUGCCUUACUUUAUCUCGGUGCUACUUUAUCCUUUGUUACUCCACUAGUAGCCAAAAAGUUUGAUAUUUUAUCCAAUAUUUUACAUGAAGCUUUUACAAUGUCUACUUCGGUGGGUGAGUCGAUUGUUGCAAAAAGGGUGUAUACAAAUUGUCCUAUAAUGUUGCACAAUAGAGUUUCUUAUGUUGAACUAUAUGCUUGAUUUUGAUGUUAUAUUGGGUAUGGAUUGGUUGUAUUCUUGCUUUGCUUUCAUUGUUUUUAGGACACGGGUGGUGAGGUUUAACUUUCCAAAUGAACCAGUUGUUUAGUGGAAGCGGGUAAACUCUAUUCCUAGAGGUUGUAUAAGCUUUUUUCUAAAAACAUGCAAAAUGAUCUCUAAAGGUUAUCUUUACCAUAUUCUAAGAUUCCAAUUCCUAGACUCCGAGAUUCUUCUUAUUGAGUCGGUCUCCGCAGUGAGGAAAUUUCCAGAGGUUUUUCCUAAUGAUCUUCCUGGUAUUCCUUCCGAACGGGAAAUUGAUUUUGGUAUUAAUUUUCUACCUGAUACAAAAUCCAUUUGAUUCUUCCUUAUCGGAUGGGAACGGUCGAAUUAAAAUAGUUGAAGGCUUAACUCAAUGAUUUACUAGACAAAGGCUUUAUUAGAGCUAGUAUUUCCCCAUGGGUUGCUCUAGUUUUGUUUGAGAAGAAGAAAUAUGGGUCCUUAAGAAUGUGUAUUGAUUACCGCAAAAUCAAUAAGGUCACAAUAAAGAACAAGUAUCCUCUCUCUCGGAUUGAUGACUUGUUUGACCAACUCCAAGAGGGCAAGUUACUUUCAAAAAUUGACUUAAGGUUUGGGUAUAACCAACUAAGGGUAAGAGGUGAUAAUAUACCAAAGACGACAUUUCAGACAAGAUAUGGGCAUUAUAAGUUCUUACUAAUGUCUUUCUGUCUCAUUAAUGCUCCAACGACCUUUAUUGACCUAAUGAAUAGUGUUUCAAAAUUACCUAGAUUCAUUUUUCAUUGUCUUUAUUAAUGACAUCUUGGUACAUUCAAAGAAUAAGAGUAAUCACAUGGAUCAUUUGAGGGCAGUAUUGCAAACCCUUAAAGAACAUCAAUUGUUCGCCAAGUAUAGGAAAUGUGAGUAUUGGUCAAGGUCGGUGACAUUUUUUGGUCAUAUCAUCUCGAUUGAGGGAGUUGAGGUUGAUCCAAGGAAAAUGGAGGCGAUGAAAAAUUGGCCUGGACCUUUGACUAAAACAGACAUUAGGAGUUUCUUGGGUUUAGCGGGUUAUUAUCGGUGGUUCGUGGUUGGUUUUGCAUCCAUUGCAUCUCUCUUGAUUACUUUGACCCAAAAGAGUAAGAAAUUUGAGUGGUCGAAGGCAUGUUAGAAGAGUGUCAAAUGUUAAAAGAUAGGCUUACUUCCGCUCCGGUGUUGACCUUACCGGAGGGUACAAAGGGUUUUGUGGUGCACUGUGACGCAUCCCAAGUGGGUUUGGGGUGUGUGCUUUUGCAACAUGGGAGACUGAUUUCAUAUGCCUAUAGGCAACUUAAGGUACAUGAGCAAAACUAUUCAACUCAUUACCUUGAGUUAGUGUUUGUGGUGUUUGCAUUUAUAAUAUGGAUGCAUUACUUGUAUGGGGUUCAUGUUGAUGUCUUUACUGACCACAAGAGUAUCUAAAACGUGUUUACCUAAAAGGAGUUGAAUCUCUGACAAAGGAGGUGGUUAGAAUUGUUGAAAUAUUAUGACAUGAGUGUCCUUUAUCAGCCCGGCAAGGCUAAUGUGGUUGCGGAUGCCCUAAGUCGUAUGAAUAUAGGUAGUUUAUCUCACAUUGAUGAAACCAAGAAAGACCUAGUGAGGGGGUGAGAUUAUAAGAUUCUUCGAAUGGUUGUUUUAUUGUUCAUAAUUACUCCGAGUCAUCAUUAGUAGUUGAGGUGAAGUCUAAACAACACCUUGACAAAUCAUUGAUAAAGUUCAAAAAACGCGCCUUGGCAAUCAUAACGAGACAUUCUCCAUUAGGAGGAUGGUAUUUUAUGGUGCCAUGGAAUACUUUAUGUUCCCAAUAUAGAUGGGUUGAGAGAACGGAUCCUUGAGGAAGCCCAUAGGUCAUGGUACUCAAUUCAUCCAUGUUCGACGAAAAUGUACCACAAUCUUAGGGAAAUCUAUUUGUGGGAAUUAUGAAGAAGGACAUAGCGGAGUUUGUCGCUAAGUGUCUGAAUUGCCAACAAGUAAAAGCCGAACAUCAAAAGUUAGUUGGCUUACUACAAAAGAUCCAAGGUCCUACUUGGAAGUGGGAAGACAUCAAUAUGGAUUUUGUGGUAGGUUUUCCUCCGACUCAAAGGCAAUAUGACUCUAUAUGGGUGGUUGUGGAUAGGUUGACCAAGUCCGCUCGCUGUAUUCCCAUCAAGUCUACUUAUUCAGAAGAAGAUUAUGCUAGGAUAUUCAUAGAUGAGAUUGUGUGUUGACACUAUUCUGUUAUCCAUCAUAUCGACUCGGGGUGCACAAUUUACAUCUAGGUUUUGGAGGUUUUUCAAAAAAGGGUUGGACACUAAGGUGAAGUUAAGUACCGCUUUUCAUCCCCUAAUGUAUGGUCAAACGGAACGCACUAUUCAAACCCUUGUGGAUAUGCUUAGGGCUUGUAUCAUUGAUUUCAAGGGAAAUUGGGAUAAAAAUUUGCCUUUGGUAGAGAUUGCUUAUAAUAAUAGUUUUCAUUCAUCCAUUUCCGUGGCCUCUAUGAAGCCUUGUAUAGUAGGAGGUGUAGGUCUCCUAUUGGAUGGUUUGAAGUGGGAUAUCCUUACGUUCUUAGUCCCAAUUUGGUUUGUAAGACUUUUGAGAAAUUUCAUACCAUAAGGACCGGUUGCAAAUGGCUUAUAGUCGGUAAAAGUCUUAUGUCGAUCAUAAGAGAAGGGACUUAGAGUUUCAAGAAAGGGAUAAGGUGUAUUUGAAAAUUUCACCUAUGAAGGGUAUGGUUAGAUUUUGCAAGAGAUGGAAGUUGAUUCCUCGUUAUGUGGGUCCCUAUGAAAUCUUGCAAUGAUUUGUGAGGUUUCCUAUGAAUUGAAACUUCCUAGUGAAUUGGAUUCGGUUCAUCCGGUUUUCCAUGUUUCCAUUAUUAAAAAGUGUAUUAGUGAUCCCGAGUCUAUUCUUCCUAUGAGGGUCAUGUUGUCAAGGACAACCUCUCGUAUGAGGAAGUUCUGGUUCUAUUCCUUGAUAGGCAAGUCAAAAAGUUAAGGAAUAAAGAGGUGGUUUCCAUAAAAAUCUUAUAGAAAAAUCACAUAGUUGAGGUUGCAACAUGGGAGGCCGAGGGUGAUAUGAAGUCCCGUUACCCUCAUAUUUUUGAUAAUUAAGGUUAGUCAUUCUUUUAAUAAUAUAAAUAUGACUACAAAUUGAAGAUUCUUGAUAUUUAGUGAUGUCUUGCAAAAAUGUGCAUUUUGAAUCACAUUACAGUGAAUUACAAUGGAUUUCAUGCCUAAAACAUGAAUUUUUGUCUUUUGGUUUGUUUGAGUUAUGUUGUACAUAUUAAAAUAGUGAGUAUUAUGAAAUAAUAUAUAUAGCAUGUUGAUAGGUUAUCUUCAUUAGUCUUUAGCUUUUGUAUCUCAUUAUCCAUACUAUCUACUUUAGUACAAAGUGUAGUAAUGGCUUUGAGUAGCUGUUCAAUUGUAUCUUCAUCUUUAUUCUCAGUUUGAGUAGCUUUUUCUUGAUAAGUAGUCUGCAACACCAUUCUUAUUAGUCUUUAUCACUUCAAUUGUAAAUGUAAAGUUCAAUAUAUUUAAUACCAAUCUUCUAAUUUCUUUCGUUGUUACUGAAUCUUGUAUUUUUCUGGUUAACCACCAUUUUACUUGUGUAUUAUCUGUUCUUACAAUAAAUUUGUUAUAUACAAUAUAUGGCUUAAAUGCUAAUAAACAUUUACCAAUGUUGGGGGAUGCGAAAUUCAUCAUAAAGUAAGAUAUAUAUUUUAUAAAGGAAAAUAUAUUUUAUGUAGUGUGAAAUACAGUUUAUCAUAAAGUUCUUUUCAUAACUGUUCUAAUCUAAAUAUUUCUUUAAUAUUAUUUAUUAUAUAUUCUUUGUAUAACAUAUCUUGGGUUCUUUGGUACAUGUAUAAAUUUUCUUGCAUCAAUUGUUUUAAUAAUCUUAUAUUUUCCAUAGUUUCUAUCAAAUAUUCUAAAUAGUCAUAGUUCAUUUUAAUUUGAAUCUAUUUCUAAAUCGUUUAUAUCUAUUCUUUCUAUAUCUAAUUUUUGUAAAUAUAUUUCAUACCAUUCUUGAUUUAAUAUAUCUUCUAUAUCAUGAUUCAAUAUUAUUUCCCAUAUAAUUCUUUUUAUGUCAACAAUUUUUAUAUCUUUAAGUAUAUAUAAGAUCAAAAUUUUAUAGCUUUUAUUUCAUCAUACAUUGUAAUCAUGUUUAUUUAUUUAUGCAGAUUUGUUUUCAAUUAUUCCUUCCUAUCAUAUCAUAAUUCAAUUAAAUUCACGUUAGACUAUUAUAUGCUAGAGUAUUUGUUAUCAUGUUUUGCGGUCACUACUAGCAUCGUACUUUAGCGGAUAAUUACUGCUUAUCAGCGCCUCAACCUUCUGUACUCCCCUAAAAGCAUCCCUCGCCUACCGGUUUCCACUGUGGGAUAGCAUAGUCUAGCAGUUUUCUCCCUAUUUCCCGUUUACUAGCAAACUAGAAUUCAUGAUUCAAAUAUUUCUAGUAUAUAAUAACUAACAUAAAUUUAAUCAAUCAUAUAUAUGAUAUUCAGUAAUAUAUGAAAUUAGUUCUGCAUAAUUGUUAAACAAUAUACCUUUGUUUCUUGAUUUUCCAUGCUAUCUAAAAUAUCUGACUUGAUUUUGGAUUUCUCCAUUUUUUAACUUAUUUUUUUUAUCUUUUUUGGAGAGAGGGGUUUUUGAAAGUGUUUUUAUUAACUUAAGCUUUAGUUUGGCAUUUCCUGCCUCUCAUUUAAAAUUUUGCAAUCUAUAUAUACUAAAUUG